CCCGCUGAACUUAAGCAUAUCAAUAAGCGGAGGAAAAGAAACUAACAAGGAUUCCCCUAGUAACGGCGAGUGAAGCGGGAAGAGCUCAAAUUUAAAAUCUGGCAGUGUAUUCUGUCCGAGUUGUAGUCUAGAGAAGCGUCAUCCGCGCUGGACCAUGUACAAGUCUCUUGGAACAGAGCGUCAUAGAGGGUGAGAAUCCCGUCCUUGACAUGGACUCCCAGUGCAUUGUGUUGUGCUCUCAACGAGUCGAGUUGUUUGGGAAUGCAGCUCAAAACGGGUGGUAAAUUCCAUCUAAAGCUAAAUAUUGGCGAGAGACCGAUAGCGAACAAGUACCGUGAGGGAAAGAUGAAAAGCACUUUGGAGAGAGAGUUAAACAGUACGUGAAAUUGUUGAAAUGGAAACGCUUGAAGUCAGUCGCGUUCUCUGGGAUUCAGCCUUGCUUCUGCUUGGUGCAUUUCCUAGUCCACGGGCCAGCAUGGAUUUCGACCGUUGGAAAAGGGCUGGGGGAAUGUGGCACCUUCGGGUGUGUUAUAGCCCUCUGCCGGACACAUCGGUUGGGAUCGAGGACCCCUCAGUGCACGCUCCGGUUGUGCUUUGAUGCUGGCGUAAUGGCUUUAAACGACCCGUCUUGAAACACGG
rnacentral:rRNA from 1 species